rnacentral:rRNA from 1 species
GACGAACGCUGGCGGCGUGCUUAACACAUGCAAGUCGAACGGAAAGGCCCCUUUGGGGGUACUCGAGUGGCGAACGGGUGAGUAACACGUGAGUAACCUGCCCUUGACUUCGGGAUAACUUCAGGAAACUGGGGCUAAUACCGGAUAGGAAUCCUUGCUGCAUGGGGGGGGUUGGAAAGCUUCGGCGGUUUUGGAUGGACUCGCGGCUUAUCAGCUUGUUGGUGGGGUAGUGGCUUACCAAGGCUUUGACGGGUAGCCGGCCUGAGAGGGCGACCGGCCACAUUGGGACUGAGAUACGGCGCAGACUCCUACGGGAGGCAGCAGUGGGGAAUAUUGCACAAUGGGCGGAAGCCUGAUGCAGCAACGCCGCGUGCGGGAUGACGGCCUUCGGGUUGUAAACCGCUUUCAGCAGGGGCGAAGCUUGUGGUGACGGUACCUGCAGAAGAAGCACCGGCUAACUACGU